AGAAGUCUCCAGACUGGUUUGAGCUGUUCCUUCCCACUGUUCAAAGAAAGCUAAAUAGGCUUCAUUAGGAGCCUCUUUUGUUAUCACUGAGCCUGCAAAGAGCUGAAAAUCACUAAAAGACUUAUGGGUGGAGUUCACAGCAGAGAGGCAGGUGGCAGCAGAUGGUGACUGACAAGUCAGCUGGCAAAUGAGUGGCUGGUGAGGCGGUGAGCAGAGUGAGUGGCUGGCGGAGAGGCACAGCAAGCAGCCACUAGGGCAGCUAGCAGAGCGGCGCAGCAAGCCACAGAUGAGUGCACAAUCAGUGAAGCGAGUAAGGUGCCUCCUUACCUCCACCCAGGGUGGGAGGUGAACUCUACAGAUGCACCUUUGAACUCUGGGUCUGCACUGACCAAGGACAGCAACUGGUUUUAUCCUGCUGCCUGUCACCAUAGUAUCUGAGGACCUUCCCUUUAAAAUUAAGAGCAGUAGUGAGGUUCCUAGUGGAAUUUAUAGAGUCUCUGGCUCUUCCAUCUUUCGAGAGUAAAAAACUAAAUGCUGAUGCAAUGCUGAGCACGUGCAGGUGUGAGCGCUAUCCCUUUCCAAACUGGACACCCAAAUUCAGCCACCUGGUAUAGCUGAGGAAGGAAGUCACUCCUCGGGAGGCUUAAGGAUCAGACCCUGAGAGAUGUUUGGAAAACUGAGGCCUGGAUGAAGAUCUUUCCCACAGUUCUGCUUAUACAAGGAUGUUUCAGGCACUGAUCAUGCAAGUGCAAGGCAUAUUGUAGGUCAGUAGCCACUCCAGAGAGAAGCACCCUUGGCUGGAACAUGGAAAUUUGGAAGCUCAUUGCUAUAAUCUGUGGUUAUGAGUUCCAGCUCUGCCAGCAAUGCCGGGAAUCAAACCACAGUACCCUGAGUGCAAAGAGCCUUUAUUGUAAUCCGAUAAAGCAUUAACAGCCAGCCGUCUUCUUUUGAUGGUAAAUUAAGGGCCUCAUUUGCUUUGAAGCGGCUUGCUUGCUCUUUUGUUUAAUUCUCAAUAAGGAUGAGGCCGGAGGAACGCAGAAAGGAAAAAUGGGUCCCAGAUUCCCCACCUCAGCCUGGCGGCUUUGGAGAAUGCAAAUAAAAUCCCAUUUUCUCAAGAUAUCUGAUUUCUGAGCACUGAGCCUUUCUUUCUGGUUUCCAAAUGGUACUUCAUAGUGUUUGGCUUUGUGGUAGAGCACCUAGAAGCCAUAACCAAGCUCAGUGCUGAGACUGGACAAUAGGAACCACAGCUACCUACAGUACAAUGCCCGCUUAUCCAGUCAGCACCGUAACUCUGAUAUUGCCACUGUGGGAUGAGUCUAACUCUUGCCUUUAACGUAUUGACUGGAAAGCUUAUCAUGGGACUCUAAUUUUCAGCAUACUUGGUUACUCUUUAUUAAA